GGUCUAAUAGUGUAGAGGUUAUCACACGGGAUUUUGAUUUCGUAAGUUUUCCAUCCUCGCAUAUCGUCUUCCCGUAACCCAGGUUCGAGUCCUGGUUAGACCU